GGAGGUUUAAAUCUAACCCAUGGGUUAAAUCCGGUUUAGACCACGGGUUAACCCAUUUGUUAUCAUUUUGCAAUUUAGAAAGGCGGUUUAGAUUAGAAUCGUCUUGCGGGAGAUAAUUACAAUGGUUACCAUGGCUGCUUAUUACAAGCUCUUACAAGUCUCAGUGUUUUUGCUGAUUUGGACGCCAUGGCCGCGAUUAGUUGCAGAUGCCUGGUCACUCACGAUAUCAGCGCCCGACAAUUUAUCCGCGAAAGAAGGAGAAACAGUAACACUAGUGUGCACAUAUCAGCCAGAGACAGAUGAGAUAACCUUUGCCUCACUCUCUUGGCAAAUGGGAGAUACUGUGUUAGCGUCCGUCAAUUGCCCCAGCGC